CCCGGAGAUACCCGGGAGGGUGCGGAAAGGAGGGGUCCCGCACUAGUCCAGCAAUUGCAGCGCCUCGCCCUGCCGGCCCCGGGUGCCCGGAGUAGCCGAACCCAGGGCGGGGCUUCCGGUAUCAGCAUCCCUCAGGCCGCCCCGGGACGCGGCCGUUGGUGGCCUGCCAGUUUUGCAGAGGGAAUACUUAGACCCUACUGGAUGGGGAAGGCAAGAGCAAUGGAUGGAUAAAGGAAGAAGAAAGAGAGAAGGAACUCAUGAUGUCUUUCCUUCCCAGAUGGCAUGUUCUUGUCUGCACCAGACCCUAACUGGGAGAAGAGCAAAAACACAAAUAUCACAUUAAGAUGGAAGUUUCACCUUAAAGUAACCAUAACAUUUUUGUU